GGAAAACUACCCACAUACAUAUUACAGUUUGGCAAAAUCAGACUCUGGGCUUUCAAGCCACAAGCUACUCGGCAAAGACAAAGGCUGCCCUGGGAGUCCUCAUUACAAGCUCUCCACCAGGCCCCCAAAGUAAUUUUAAAAGUUCUCAAUUUACUGGAUCCCUGUCUAAGAAACACGGAUGAUAUUUUUAAUCUAUUUAAAUCUUAAAAGUUAUUUUUAACAUAAUUAAGCAUUUAUAACUUUGCUUUCUACAUACAUACUUUGAGUUAUGUAACAUCGCUGAGCUAAUACUUUGGACUGUGCUUCAAAAAAUUUACUGUAAUCGGGAUUUCACGUUUAAAUAUAAGAAAGGUUCCUUUUGGUUAGAAAUAAAUGAGCUUUUUUAAAAAAAAUGUUGAAAUUAGCCAAUGAUAGGAUUGCCAAAUUUGUAAUAAAACCAAACAAAAAAACCCAUACAUUUGAGCUGAGGUGUAGCUCAGUGGUAAAGUGCUUACCUACUAUGUGUAAGGCACUGGGUUUGAUUCUCAGCACCACAUAUAAAUAAAUAAAAUAAAGGUCCAUUGACAACUAAAAAAAAUGUUUUUUAAAAACAUAUAUUUUAGGAGAUGGUCAAUUAGUAUACUUUUUUCCACGCUGAAUCAACUAACAAGUAUUUAUUGCCUUAAUUAGACUAACUGACACCCAAAUAAGGAUUCUGACACUGUCCUCAAGAGAGACGAAAGGACUGCCUAAUUUAUCUUUAUGUCUGCAAUAUUGGAAGGAUUAUUAAGCAUUCAUUGUGUUCCCUUUUGCAAAGCACUUAAUAGUGAUUUAUCACUUCAUUCUCCGUCUGGGAGGCCACUUGCUUUGUCUUCAUUGUACAAGUACAGAAACUGAGGCAGCCGAGCAGUCACGGUCCUGGGUCCCCGCAGAACCUAGUGGCUGAAGUGACAUGGCCGAAUUCUGAAACCUGAGAACCCAUCAGACUCGGUUCACAGGCCUGGGCAGGAAUCUGGCAAGUGGAAUUCUGGGGGACUCCCUUGUUCACAUGGA
rnacentral:lncRNA from 1 species